rnacentral:lncRNA from 1 species
UGGAAGUCAGAAUUUCAAAGAUAAGUGUGUCCGGCAGAGCAAGGACCUCCAGGAGCUGAGGCCCCGACUCUUAACUCUAUCGCCCAUCCAUGCAUUCAUCUAUAAUAUUUGAUGUAGCCCUACUGUGUCCAGUCUCUGGACUGGAGGGUAUGACCAAGUGCAGGGUAUGACCAAGGCACUGUGUCAGGGUCUGGCCAAAGGGCACAGGUCACAAACACCCUCAUGCUGUACCAGUACAUCCCUUUCCUAGGAAUAAUGCAAGCGUUUGGAAUGGGCCAGCAUGGAGGGCCUCUCUGAGGGGUGGCCAUGAGCCUGGGUCUAGAUGACUAGAAAGAUCUGACCGGCUGGGGCCCUCAGCACAGUGUCUGAGGUAGAAGGAGCUGCAGGAAGGGAGGACCUGAGGGUUUUAGCCCUAGUGUCAUGAAAGGCCACAGGAGUGUUUUCAAUCCUGAAAACGGGUGAUGCAAUGUGAUUCCAUUAAAACAAAAGAUCCCAGUGACUGUGGGAAAGUGGACCUGCAGGAGUUAAUGCAGGGAGACAGCACCAAGGUGGAUGUACAGGGGUCCACCAUGACCAUGGCAUCCACUCCUCACAGAGAAGGCAUCUGGCCAUGGCCUGGCCCUGAGCAAGUAUUGAAAAAAAUGGGAGCUGUUGUCUUUUGUUCACUAAGCAUGUAUUAGUCACCUGCUGUAUGCCAGGUUGGAGCCACAAAAGUGAAAAGGCAGCCCCUAAAUCCCUGUUUUCUUGGAGUGCACACACCACUGGGGCCAACAGUGACUAUGAAAUGAAAUUUCAGGACUAAGUUGGUGGCCUAGGUGUGGAGGCUGGUGGGGCCACCACCACAGACCACAGGAGGGGAUGUGUGCAGGCCAGGGUCCAGCCUUGCCUGAGGGUUGCACAGUGUUUUAAGUGACUUCUGCACUGGUGGGCCUCUCCUCCCGAAACCAGUCUCUCCCUCUUAACUCCAUACAGUAAGCAAGGCCCGGGAAGAAGUUGGGUUUCCCUGCCAUCCUUCCUGCCCCAGCCCCUCAUCCUCAACUCACCAUCAACCCUUCCACGAUCCCAAAUCGCUCGUGGAUGACUUUGGCGAGGGGAGCCAAACAGUUGGUGGUGCAGGACGCGUUGCUGAAACAGCCAAGGUGUGCACGGACACUGUGAGGUGGUGACCUCCCCAACUCAGCCCUCAACCUCCUCAGAGGCGCCAAUGCUGACUGCUGUCAGCCAGCCCAGACCCUUUCUCCAUAUGCUGCCCGGGACGUGGACUCUGUGACUGUGAGGCCUGCCCGGCUGCUUUCUGCUUCCCAGCUCUGACAACCUCGCCAUGAACCCUCCUAGACCCUCAGCUCCUGCAAUAGGAAGCUGGCUGCCAAAGGCCAGGAGGGUCCCUGAAAACAGACACUGCAUUAAAGAAAAAGCUCCUGGAGGACUCCUGAAGCCUGAGGCAGCCUUGGGGCAGCAGUGGCUCAUGGUUUACAUUGGAAAGGUUUAUCAUGAGUAACCGGGUGCUUUGCUUCUGUGAUUCUUGGCCAGUGUCGGUCUGUUUCCUUUGCCAUUGAGCCUGCUCCCCUCAAUGGGGGGUUCAAUCAAUGUUUGUGGGGUUUGUUUGUUUUGAGACAGGGUCUUCCUCUGUCGCCCAGGCUGGAGUGCAGUGGUGCAAUCAGAGCUCACUGCAGCCUUGAUCUUCCUGGCUCCGGCCAUCCUCCUGCCUUGGCCUCCCGAGUAGCUGGGACUACAGGCGCACACCACCAUGCCAAGCUAAUUUUUAAAUUUUUUUGUAGAGAUGGGGUCUCACUUUUGUUGCCCAGGGUGCUUUAGAACCCCUGGGCUCAAGUGAUCCUUGACCUCCCACAGUGCUGGGAUUACAGGUGUGAGCCACCGUGCCUGGCCUCAUGGGUUUUCUUUGUUUUGUUUUGUUUUGUUUUUGAGACAGAGUCUCACUCUGUCACUCAGGCUGGAGUGCAGUGGCACGAUUUUGGCUCACUGCAACCUCCACCUUCCGGGUUCAAGCGAUUCUCCUGCCUCCGCCUCCCGAGUAGUUGGGGUUACAGGCAUGCGCUACCACACCUGGCUAGUUUUUUAUUGUUGUUGUUUUUUGUAUUUUUAGUGGUGACGGGGUUUGCUCUGUUGGCCAGGCUGGUCUCAAACUCCUGACCUCAGGUGAUCCCCACUUCAGCCUCCCAAAGUGCUGGGAUGACAGGCAUGAGCCUCUGCACCUGGCCUCGUGUUUUUUUUUUAGUUAGCCAUUUUAUACGUGUUUACUGAACACCUGUCCUGUGCCCAUAUUCUAAGUGCCUUACCUGCAUUAAACUCAUGUAACCUUCACAACCCG